GCAGUGGGGAAUAUUGCACAAUGGGCGAAAGCCUGAUGCAGCAACGCCGCGUGAGGGACGAAGGCCUUCGGGUUGUAAACCUCUUUUAGUAGGGAAGAAGCGAAAGUGACGGUACCUGCAGAAAAAGCACCGGCUAACUACGUGCCAGCAGCCGCGGUAAUACGUAGGGUGCAAGCGUUGUCCGGAAUUAUUGGGCGUAAAGAGCUCGUAGGCGGUUUGUCGCGUCUGCUGUGAAAACCCGAGGCUCAACAUCGGGCCUGCAGUGGGUACGGGCAGACUAGAGUGCGGUAGGGGAGAUUGGAAUUCCUGGUGUAGCGGUGGAAUGCGCAGAUAUCAGGAGGAACACCAAUGGCGAAGGCAGAUCUCUGGGCCGUAACUGACGCUGAGGAGCGAAAGCAUGGGGAGCGAACAGGAUUAGAUACCCUGGUAGUCCAUGCCGUAAACGUUGGGAACUAGAUGUGGGGACCAUUCCACGGUCUCCGUGUCGCAGCUAACGCAUUAAGUUCCCCGCCUGGGGAGUACGGCCGCAAGGCUAAAACUCAAAGGAAUUGACGGGGGCCCGCACAAGCGGCGGAGCAUGCGGAUUAAUUCGAUGCAACGCGAAGAACCUUACCAAGGCUUGACAUAUAGAGGAAACGGCUGGAAACAGUCGCCCCG
rnacentral:rRNA from 1 species